UACAGAGGGAGCGAGCGUUGUUCGGAAUUACUGGGCGUAAAGGGCGCGUAGGCGGUCCGAUAAGUCCCGUGUGAAAUCCCUCGGCUCAACUGAGGAAUGGCACGGGAAACUGACGGGCUUGAGUUCGGGAGAGGGAAGCGGAAUUCCGGGUGUAGCGGUGAAAUGCGUAGAUAUCCGGAGGAACACCGGUGGCGAAGGCGGCAUCCUGGACCAACACUGACGCCGAGGAGCGAAAGCCAGGGGAGCAAACGGG
rnacentral:rRNA from 1 species